UGCUCAAUGAAAUAUAUAUAUAAUAUAUAUAUAUAUAUUUUAAUAGCCGCAAAAUUUUUUAUGUGCUAAGGUAGCAUAAUCAUUUGUUUUUUAAUUAAAAACUAGAAUGAAAGGUUAUACAUUUAAAUUUCUUUAUUAAUUUCUUAUAUAUAAUUUAUAUUAAAUAUAAAAAUAUAUUUUUUAAAUAAAAAGACGAUAAGACCCUAUUAAAUUUUACUUAUAGUUUAACUGGGGAAGUUUUAAAAAUAAAAUUUUUUAUAAAAAUAAAAAUAAAUCUAAUAAAAUUAAAAUUAAAUUAAAUUACUAUAGGGAUAACAGCAUUAUAUUUUUUAAAAGUUCAUAUUAAAAAAAAUGAUUGUGACCUCGAUGUUGAAUAUAUUUUCUUUAUUAAUGCGCUAAUUAUAAAAGUGGAUCUGUGCGCUCUUUAAAAUAUUACA
rnacentral:rRNA from 1 species